UGCCCCUAUGCUGGUAAUGCAAAAAGUAGAUGUGAAAGAGAAGUAACAUCCUCUACAAGCACUGAAGCAUACAGCUGAUGCCCCAUAUUUCAACUUUUUCAUUUCUUGGAGGCUUGGAGCACCAAAGGGCAAGAUCAAUGCCACAAAAUUCUACAAAGUAUUAGUGGAGCCAGGAACAAAAAAUUAAUUGUAACAAUAUACUAUAGCAAGACAUGAGAAUAUACCAAUUUUGCCAAACCACCA
rnacentral:lncRNA from 1 species